UGGGCAUCGGAACGUUACCAGGGCAGCUCAGCAGGGGAAGAUGGCAGGGGCCAGUCAUGCCUCGUCGUGGCAGUUACAAGCCCUGGAAUCUGAAGGCUCUGUCCAGCAUGCAGCCCAGCCCUGCCCUCCUGACUGGCAGAAAUCUGACCCAAGGCCAGGACCUAUGAACAGGGUCAAGUGAUCAGAGGCCAACUAGACCCACAGCCCAGCAGCUGGUGGAGAAACUGAUCCCAGAGAGGAAGCCUGACUGUCCAAGUCCACCAGCCAGCACCCAGUUCUAACAGGCCAGGAGCCACCAACCGUACCCAUCUCUAACAAAGGUCAGGAGCUACCAACCAGCACCCAGCUCUAACAGAGGUCAGGAGUGUGAAGGAAAUCCACGACCAUGAUAGUAAGGAAUGGGUUCAGCAGAAAGGAGUCGCCAUCGUUGGAUAUCUCCCAUUUCUCAGCCACCUUAUCUGUGCUGUCCCAUUUAAGCUCCAUGACAGAUAGAUGGGGUAGAUAAUAUCUCCAUUUUAUGUCUGAGGAAACUGGGGCCUGAGAGUUUAACAAAUUCAGCCUGGGUCACACACCUAGCAAGUGGCAGAGCCAUGAUUCAAAUAAAAUUUAUUGGACUUA